AAGCACUGCCUUUGAACCCGAUGUCUUGUUUGUAGUUUCAUGGGCCAGGCAACAGUGCUAGUAUAAGGACUUGUUAUAACUGGGGCCCUUCAUCUCAGCUGAACUGCUCUUUUAAAAACAAGGUACAUCU
rnacentral:snoRNA from 1 species